rnacentral:tmRNA from 1 species
GGGGGCGUUUUGGAUUCGACGCCGGUUACAAAACCUGUAGUGCAUGCCGAGAUGGCGAUCAAUCUCGUUAAUCCAAAAUCGCAAACUUAUAGUUGCCAACGA